ensembl:lncRNA FTX FTX transcript, XIST regulator
GUUGGAAGGUCGGGAAGUGAAGGACUCGCAGGCAUAUUUAACAACGCAAAGUUGCUAGGAGUUGGUACCAGCGUUUGGGAGGUAGAGGUGGCGCUCAUGCAUAUUUGAGACAACAUCUGGAUGGUUGGGGAGAACGGUGAUGCCACACUCAAUCAGAAACUAUGCUACUGCUGAAGAGGUAUAUUGAGCCCUGCCUGGUUAACCUCCAGUGAGGUUAUUAGAGAAUUGGGAGAGGCUCAAAUCAGCAUCCUGCACCUAGUUAUCAAACCAUUGUGAAGUCUUGAUUCCUGGAUGGCCAGAAAACUUGUCAUUGGUCAAGAGCAACAUUAAGAUCUGCCUGUUACUCAUACUGAUGCUUCCUGCCCAGCAAGUUCAUCAGAGGGCGAGGAUGAAUUACGGUUGCCAUGAAUGUCCUUGUGAGGCAGUUGGGAAGCCUUGGCUGGAUUGUGAAGGAUAUUUGAAAAGUAUUUUAGAGUCCACCAGAUCAUCCAUGUGAGUGACCAUGCAGCAAAAGAAGGAGGGUCCUCUCAGUGAUUAAGGAUUAUGAAGUAUUAAUUCUUCCACUGAUAUCUCAAAAGGUGAUCUGGACAAAGGAACAGGUAUCUCAGCAGCCUGCUCUUCUUUUGCAAUCUCUUCAGGAUCUCUGUAGAAGUAGAGAUCAGGCAUGAACUCCCACGGGUGUUCACGGGAAAUGGUGCCACGCAUGCGCAGAACUUCCCGAGCCAGCAUCCACCACAUCAAACCCACUGAGUGAGCUCCCUUGUUGUUGCAUGGGAUGGCAAUGUCCACGUAUCACAGAGGAGAAUCUGUGUUACACAGAGCAAUGUAGAGACGGGGUUUCACCGUGUUAGCCAGGAUGGUCUCGAUCUCCUGACCUCAUGAUCCACCCGCCUUGGCCUCCCAAAGUGCUGGGAUUACAGGCGUGAACCACCGCGCCCGGCCAGGAGAGUGUAUUUUCUACACAUAAGUUCAGGUCAUCUCCACACAGACCCAGUUUGCCUCCCUCUUUUCCGAUCUGAAUGCCUUUAAUUUCCUUCUCUUGCCUAACUGUACUGGCUAGAACAUCCCGAACUAGGUUGAAUGAGGUGCUGAGAGUGGGCAUAAUUGGCUUCUUUACCUCCGAAGAAAAUAUUUCAUGUUUUCUUCAUUGAUUAUGAUGUUAGUUGUGGGUAUUUCAUUUACUGCCUAUAUGGUAUAAAGAUACAUUCCUUCUAUGCCUAAUUGGUUGACAGCUUUUAUUAUAUCAAAUUCUAUAAAACUGUUUUAUUUUUAAAUCUAUUGAGAUGAUCAAAUGGCGGUGUCCCUCCUCCUUUAUAAGACUAUUUAAAACAUCCUUGCCUCAGAGGGACAAAUCCCAUUUGAACAUGGCAAGUAAUCCUCUUAAUAUAAAGUGGAAUUAGGUUUGACAGAAAUUACCAGUGAAGCACUAUGGGCAUAUAUUUGAUAGGAGAUUUUUAUUAUGGAUACAAUUUACUUGUUAUUGGUC